rnacentral:tRNA from 1 species
CGAUCCACGGAUAGCUCAGUUGGGUAGAGCAUCGAGCAUUCAACUCGACGGUCGCGGGUUCAAUUCCCGCUCCAAUUGG